AGUGAAGUCCCUUCUAUAAAUAUUGUCGUUUGUGAUGGCGAAGUCGGCUAAGGAACAGGCUGAAAUAAUUGUUUUGAGAAAAGAACUUGAUUGGCUGCUGAAAGAAGAAGUGAAUCCAGUUUUACAAGAUAUUAAAGAAACACUUCAGGAAUGUUAUGAGUGUUUACCUUUUCAUGGAACUGCAG
rnacentral:sRNA from 1 species